rnacentral:rRNA from 1 species
AGUCUGUUCAGAGGAACCUGUCCUGUAAUUGAUAGUCCACGUUUUUAGUUACUUAUAUUAAAAAUUUACAUAUCGUCGUAGGUUGAAUAUUUUUUAAGAAUUUAAAUAUUCAAGAUUUUUAAAGAAAAAAAUUCAGAUCAAGGUGUAGUUGAUAUGUAAGAAGUGGUGGGUUACAAUAAAUUUAUUUAUACGGAAGAGUUAUUUUAAAAAAACUUUUAAGGCGGAUUUGAAAGUAAUUUUAUUUAAAUAUUUAGAAUGAUUUAAGCUCUAAAAUAUGUACAUAUCGCCCGUCACUUUCAUUUUAAGGUGGAAUAAGUCGUAACAAAGUAGGUGUACCGGAAGGUGUCCCUAGAAGCU